AGGCGAAAUAUCCUGGGGAAGAUGGAGAGAGGACUCCUGCUGCAGGGGCUACAGCGGUUUGCAAUCCGAGUAGCUAUUUUGGUUAGUGUUUUUGCUGAAUAAAGUAAAAAUUCAAGUGAUUUAAUUUUUCAAGUGGAACUAAUAUCACGAGGGCUGAAGUUUCUUGUCGUCAGCUGGUAAUUUAGUUUCCAAUUCCGAAAGGAAAAUGGCUAUGCCAAACUUGGAAGAAGUACUUGUCAUGUGGCUUCUGAUACCUUUCACCUUUACCUCUCCUUAAUUUUUCGCAUACGCAGCAUUUCACUCCUUCUCAACCAAUGUUAUGCUGCACAAAAAAUCCAUCCUGUUUCCUGUAGCAAUCAAGGGCAGAUUUUGCUCUGGAAUAGUUGAAAGGCUUGCAGGAAGACAUUCUUUCUUUUAUUUCUAUUCGCAGCACAGCAAGAUAGCUUCAGGAAAAAAAAACAUUUCACUUCUAAUCUUGUUCUCAACUGCUCUAUGUUGAUAAAAUAUUAUUCUGUUGUGUAUUCUUUUGCCCUUCAUUCUGAUGUCUUUCCUCCUUGUCCUUUUAUUAUUUAUGGACCAAACCAAUGCUCUAGCAGGUGGGAUUUCAAAGGCUAAGGAUUCAUCAAGCUUUAUCUUUGGUGUUCUUUUGGCAUUAAAAUUUGGUUUUGUUUCAUCCUACUAAUUGUAUAACUGUAUGUCAAUAUUGUAUGUUUCUAUAUCAAAAUCAAUAAAGCUUAACUAAAACUUGUGCUUUUGAAAUCUGAAGAUUCUGAUAGAUUAUUUUGGUAUUAUGAAAUCUAGAGUCCAUGUGAGCUCAGUUGUCAAGGGGAUGAUGAGAUUACAUAAAUGCCUGAAAUGUGAAGAACAAAAGACGAAGAGACUACCAUGUUGGGGAAUGUAUCGGUGCCACGACUAUGCAUUAGUGCUCUGGAUGAUCCAAUCUGCACUGGAGAAACCAUUCAAUGGGAUGAAUGCAGAGAGCAAACCCAAACACUGUGUUGGCUACACCACAGCAUGGAGGGCAUCUAGCAUUCUUUGAAGGAUUAGCGGCAACCAGCUAUUGGUGGUCAAGGGCUGUAGAUGAAUUUCUUGGUGUUCUACACUCUAGUCCAUACAUGCAUUACAGAAGGUGAACUUUCUGUUAAUUACUCCUACUCUUCUCAUCAAACUGAUAACAAAUUAUUAUCAGAUAUGCGUUGGUGAAUGUAAAUCGUUGUUUUCGGACCUUGUCUAAUUGUGGAAGGAUAUGAUCUUCAA